GAAAAAAAGCAGAGGCUCCCGCUUCUCGCCUAGGGGACAAACAGUCCCGGGGCAGAAUUAUGAAAUGUAAUUCCGAUAAAAACGGAUCUGUGCGGGUGUCUUGUAAGUUUUACGAGAUACCCGCAUUUUUUCUGCAUU
rfam:Lactobacillus animalis strain 381-IL-28 NODE_32_length_260173_cov_22.791466, whole genome shotgun sequence.